GCCUGCUGCCUGUGCACAGUGCUCUCCUUAGAUUUGGACGCUGGACUGCAAUAAACCAGUUUGAGUGAAAGCCCCUGUGCAGGGCUUUGCAUUCGGAGGAGUAAGCGGAGUCGACUGUGAUGUGGCAUAUUACAGCUGUAACUCAGCCUGAAGGGGGAAGGGCAGCCCAAUAAUUCUUCAAAUUGAAUUCCACGUGACUGGGAGGAGUCCGUUCCUGUGGGUGUCACUGCGCAAGGAAAAAUCGCCUUCGCAGGGAAGCAGCUGCGAUUGUGCUUGUACUGGAGGUGAGACCAGGGCCUCACCCCACGAGAGCUCUGCCAACGAGCUACAUGCCCCGCCCUUUUCACUAUCAAAACUUUUGCAACAGAGUUUCUUUAGUUGGGAUUCUCUUGCCUCAGCCUCCUGAGAAUUU